rnacentral:rRNA from 1 species
UACAGAGGGUGCGAGCGUUGUCCGGAAUCACUGGGCGUAAAGGGCGCGUAGGUGGCGGCCCAAGUCCAUGGUGAAAGCUCGCCGCUCAACGGGCGAGUCGGCCACGGAUACUGGGUUGCUCGAGCACUGUAGGGGCAGAUGGAAUUCCGGGUGUAGCGGUGGAAUGCGUAGAGAUCCGGAAGAACACCGGUGGCGAAGGCGGCCUGCUGGGGCAGUUGCUGACACUGAGGCGCGACAGCGUGGGGAUCAAACAGG